rnacentral:rRNA from 1 species
CGGUAGCGUAUGCUAAAGUUGUUGCAGUUGAAAAGCUCGUAGUUGAACUUCUGGCAGGCGUGACCGGGCCUUUGCAUGAAUGUGCACUGUUUGCCUGCGUCGCGCUAGCCUUUUUCGGUCCGCGUUCGCGGGGACCGUCGUUUACUGUAAAAAAAUUGGAGUGUUUCAGGCAGAACGUAUGUUCGGAACAUAAUAGUAUGGAAUAAUAAGAUAGGGCCUUUGCGAUAUUUUGUUGGUUUGCACGCAAGAGUAAUGAUUAAUAGGGACAGUUGGGGGUAUUCGUAUUUAGAUGUCAGAGGUGAAAUUCUUGGAUUUUCGAAAGACGAACGACUGCGAAAGCAUUUAUCAUGGAUGUUUUCAUUAA